AGAGCGAACGCUGGCGGCAGGCUUAACACAUGCAAGUCGAGCGGGCGUAGCAAUACGUCAGCGGCAGACGGGUGAGUAACGCGUGGGAACGUACCUUUUGGUUCGGAACAACACAGGGAAACUUGUGCUAAUACCGGAUAAGCCCUUACGGGGAAAGAUUUAUCGCCGAAAGAUCGGCCCGCGUCUGAUUAGCUAGUUGGUGAGGUAAUGGCUCACCAAGGCGACGAUCAGUAGCUGGUCUGAGAGGAUGAUCAGCCACAUUGGGACUGAGACACGGCCCAAACUCCUACGGGAGGCAGCAGUGGGGAAUAUUGGACAAUGGGCGCAAGCCUGAUCCAGCCAUGCCGCGUGAGUGAUGAAGGCCCUAGGUUGUAAAGCUCUUUGUGCGGGAAGAUAAUGACGGUACCGCAAGAAUAAGCCCCGGCUAACUUCGCGCCAGCAGCCGC
rnacentral:rRNA from 1 species